UUUAAAAAGCCCAAAAUAUCAUUCCCUCCAUAUAUAUCCCGCCCUAAGAAUUUGUUUUCUUCUACAAUUCUAAUCCCGUUAAUUUCUCCUCCCCGCUCUCUCUCUUUCGGUCCAAGGAAUUUUGUGAUCUUCUCUGCCUCUCUCUCUCUUUCGGUCCAAGAGAUUCUGUGAAUCGCUGUGUGAAUUUCUCCUCUCCUCUUCUCUCUUUCGGUCUGGGGGAUUUAAUUUUGUGAAUUUCUCUGCCUCUCUUCUCUAUUUCGGACUGAUUUUGUCAUUUUAUUCUGCAGUUUUUAUAUUUUCAAUUGUGGAAGGGAAGUUUUGAAGCAUAUAUGGUUCGAAUCGGGAGAUCGGUUGAGAUUGUUUCUUCUUCACAUCCUUAAAAAGGUAUUUUUUUUCUUUUUCUGGUUCUUAAAUUGGAUCGUCAAUCUCUGCAACUCUGGGUAGUAAAUUUGGUUUUCUGUAAAUUCUUAGGCUGAGUGUUAUGUGAAACCAGAUUCUUCCAUUUUAAUAUGUUGUGGUAUGUGAAGUUAUCUUUCUAGAGCUACAAAAUUUGUUUCCAUCUCAUUACAUACAGUCUACAGAGACUUUUUUUUUUUUUUUUCAAUAAAAUUUGACAAAGAUUUUUAAUAAGCUUAUGCAGAAAUAUCUACUGCAUAAAUAUUUCUAGUUGAAAUUUCUGUCAAACAAGAGAUAUACAUAUAUGAGAACGGGAAGUUGUCACAGCAAGUCAUGUACUACUGCUAGCUUGUUCUGUUGGCCUAGUUAUAGAUUGCCAACCUGCACAGAUUUGAAGAACAGCCUUGAGAGAAUCUGAUGCAAGUUCUAGUGUCCAUGUAGGGUAAAAAUCACUUGGAUGGAAAAUGGAUUCUUCCUUUUCAAUACUUCGUAUACUUGCUUUAGCUCCAUUCAAGAGUAAAUCUCCUUCAAAUAUAAUUGAACCAGAUUUUUUUUUUUAUCUUUAUCUGCAGCCCUCAUUACAUACAGAGACUUAAGUAAAUGUUUAAGCCCUGAAAAGUAUGUGAUUUCAUUUGACUAAUCAGCCAGAAGGUGUAGAAGAAAAUUUGUUGAUUGUGUUGCAGAUUCAUGAUAAACAUUUUUCUUUGGACUGUAGUGUGUGAGUUGUUUAAUAGUUAUAUAAUUGAUCACUUCUCAAGGUGCAGAGAAAUUAUAAAAUAUUGUUAAUUUUAUAUCAAAUUUGUUGGAUACAGAAAUAAUCUCAGUGGCUGGUUUAUUUUCAGUUACUUAAUUAAGAGGACUUGUUAAGUUUGUCAGAUGAUAUUUGUAUUCGCAUAUGUAUUGUGCUAAGCCUGUAUUUGGUCUUAAGAAGUGAAUAGAGACGAGCACAAAUUUAUGGAUUUUGCACCAAAAUUCAAGUGGUAGAUAUGAAGAGAACAAUGAACGACUUAUUGAAAAAACAGGUUAGUAAGUCCCUUUAAGUGAAAUAUAACUCAUACGCUUUUACUUCUAUUGAUAUAGUAACUAGUUUCUAAAAUUUUUUUAUCUUACUAGUUUCUGGAAAAGCAAAGUGAAGAAUUAUCUAACAUUCGACAACCGUCUUCACCGGAAACUUUAUCAUUCCUUUUAAUUGAUAAUAUAUAUUUAUUUUUAAAGUUGACUAUAACCUGGCUUCUAACUUUGUGUUGUUGAAGAGUGUAAACACUAAUACACUCAGCAAUAGGUGUAAGCUACUAGAUUGGACCGGAAUAGGAGAAGAGGUGGCAGAAGAACGUUGGUCUUCAAAUGAUCCAAAAAUAUUGGUUCAUCACUUUCCUCUAGGACCUAAUGCUAUGAGAGUUUGGUUUAAUUUAGCUAUGAAACCUGAUGCAUUCUUAUGGAGGCUUACUUCAUAUAUGACUUAUAUUGAAGAAUAUGUUGGUACCACAGUUGCAUGGCCAAUUGACAAAGUUGUCAUCAAGUAAAUAGCAUAGACAAUAAGGUCAAAUUUUAUACUCUUAACAUCUUCGAUCACUGAUUAGAAUUUUGAAUAUUUUUACUUUACAUUAUUUUACAAUCUAAUAAGUAGCAUCAUUUUGUUAAUUUUCAGAUUUAAAUGCUUUAUUGGAUUGACAGAUGUCUUCUACUAACUUGUUGCAAGAGUUCGAGGAAUUUCAUUUUGAAGAAAUAGAAUAAGAUGACUCUACUUUAAUUUUGUUUAUUGUCUUUUCAAGCAUAUAUUGCCAAUAGUAUCUGAUAUGAAGACCAAACAUAAUUAGAUUUCUCCAUUGAAU
rnacentral:lncRNA from 1 species